AUUUUUAUUCUUACAUAGACACACAUACAUGUGUGUGUGUGCGUGUGUGUACACAACCCACUGAGCCCAUUUAAUGUUGCUUGUAUGUGCAUUUGUCCUGGGCUAAUUGCUUGGGAUUGAAUUUAGCUUACUGGAAUCCUGCAAGCAUCAAGCUGAACACAGUUUUCCUUUGUUUGAACAAAGUUCUUCCUGGACACUUUGAGCAAGAGAGGCCUGUCCCCCCUCCCAAUGAAGACCCUCAGGGGCACGAGUGGAGGUGUUACAGGCGUAAUUUUCCUUUCCCCACUUUGUUCUGCCUGGGAGAUGCCACUGCUCACCUGUCUAAGAGUCAGAGAGAAGAAGGAAUGAAACCUUGACACAUCUGGGAAAAUUUCUUUAAAUACUUUAUACAUGUCUGUAGGGGACAAACAGGGUAAAGCCUGUAUGUGAACAAUAGGAGAGGAGGGAACGAGAGAAAGAUAGAUUUAAAAAAAAGAAAAGAGACAUAAAGAGAAAGAAAAAACAGAGGGAGAGAGAGAGAGAGAGAGAGAGAGAGAGAGAGAGAGAGAGAGAGAGAGAGAGAGAAACGGACUUCAUUUAAAUGUGCCGGGAGCCCCCUUUGUCGGGUUUCUCCCAUGCUGGAGGAUGCUAAUUCUGUAAUGCUAGACAGUUGCCUUCUUUUGGGUACAAAGACAGAAAGGGAGGGUUUCUUUUGUGUUUUUCAGAGCAAAGUGAUUCUGAUCAGAGAGAACCAAGGUUUCAGCUCCAAGUACCUGACAUUUCCAUCUGAAUCCACUUUUUUUUCUUCUCUUUUUAAAGGAGGGGGGAGGUCUAGUUUUUCAGGAAAAGAGCCUCUCCGCGCAAUCCUGAAACUGAUCUUCAGAUUUACCUCUCCUUAAUCAAUAGAGAGCAACUUGAUUGCAACUCAACACUCCCCCGACUCUAGUGCAGGACUAACUGAAUUUUUGGUUUUAAGAGUAUGGGAUUCGGACGUGAUUUCAGGGAUCAGAAAUAAUUGGCAGCCACGCGAGGAGAACUGACGUGAAUUCUUAUACCUAAUUUUCCGGGCUCACCAAGAUUUGACUUAAUACUUUUCACUCAAUUCCUCCAGUCUCCACAGAACAGGAUGAAUUAUUCAUCAUUACUUAGAAUUUGGGUCUCUUUCAUCUUCGCUCUUGUUCGGCACCAAGCUCAGCCCAGGGAGCUCAUGUAUCCAUUUUGGCAGAAUGACACGAGAACCCCUAAAGUAGAUGACGGAAGCUCCUCUGAGAUUAAGUUGGCCAUCCCCGUCUUCUUCUUUGGUGUUCCUUACCGCACCGUCUAUGUCAAUAACAAUGGUGUUGUUUCCUUCAACGUGCUAGUGAGCCAGUUUACACCAGAGUCCUUUCCCCUGACGGACGGGAGGGCCUUCAUUGCUCCAUUCUGGGCAGAUGUGCACAAUGGAAUUCGGGGUGAGAUCUAUUACAGAGAAACCAUGGACCCCGCCAUCCUGAGAAGAGCCACCAAGGACAUCAGGAAGUACUUCAAAGACAUGACCACCUUCUCUGCCACUUGGGUUUUCAUUGUGACCUGGGAGGAAGUCACGUUUUACGGAGGCAGCAGUACCACGCCUGUGAACACCUUCCAGGCUGUGCUGGUAUCCGACGGCUCCUACACAUUCACGCUCUUUAAUUACUAUGAGAUCAACUGGACGACUGGGACAGCCAGCGGUGGCGACCCUCUAACAGGCCUUGGAGGUGUGAUGGCACAGGCAGGAUUUAAUGGUGGAAACCUCACGAAUUUCUUCAGUCUUCCGGGAUCAAGGACCCCUGAGAUUGUAAAUAUUCAAGAGACCACAAAUGUCAAUGUUCCAGGACGCUGGGCAUUUAAAGUUGACGGGAAGGAAAUUGACCCGGCCAAUGGCUGCACCUCUAGAGGACAGUUCCUUCGUCGAGGGGAGGUGUUUUGGGAUGACCUGAACUGUACCAUCAAGUGUCGCUGUCUGGAUUUCAACAAUGAGAUCUACUGUCAGGAGGCCUCCUGUAGCCCCUACGAGGUGUGCGAACCCAAGGGUCGGUUCUUCUACUGCAGCCCAGUGGAGACCAGUACCUGUGUGGUAUUCGGGGAGCCACACUACCACACCUUUGAUGGCUUCCUCUUCCACUUCCAAGGCUCGUGUGCUUACCUGUUGGCCCGACAGUGUCUACAAACCUCCAGCCUCCCCUUCUUCAGUGUGGAGGCCAAGAACGAGCACCGAGGGGGCUCUGCUGUCUCGUGGGUAAAGGAGCUCUCUGUCGAGGUCAAUGGCUACAAGAUUCUCAUUCCUAAAGGAAGCUAUGGGAAAGUCAAGGUUAAUGACCUAGUGACUUCUUUGCCCGUCACCUUAGAGUUGGGGGCGGUGAAAAUCUACCAGAGUGGCAUGUCUACUGCCGUGGAAACAGAUUUUGGGCUCUUAGUGACGUUUGACGGCCAGCACUACGCCUCCAUUUCCAUCCCAGGCUCUUACAUAAACUCUACCUGUGGCCUAUGCGGGAACUACAACAAAAAUCCACUGGAUGACUUCCUCCGCCCCGAUGGCAGGCCCGCCAUGUCGGUGCUGGACCUAGGAGAGAGCUGGCGUGUCUACCAUGCUGACUGGAAGUGUGGCUCUGGCUGUGUAGACAAUUGUACUCAGUGUGAUGCAGCCACUGAGGCCCUCUACUUUGGUUCUGACUACUGCGGCUUCCUCAACAAGACGGAUGGCCCCCUGUGGGAGUGCGGCACUGUUGUGGAUGCCACGGCUUUUGUACACAGCUGUGUGUACGACCUGUGCAGUGUGAGGGACAACGGCACGCUCCUCUGCCAAGCCAUUCAGGCCUACGCCUUGGUGUGCCAAGCCCUUGGCAUCCCAAUCGGAGACUGGAGAAUCCAAACUGGGUGUGUGUCUACCGUGCGGUGCCCAAGCUUCAGCCAUUACUCUGUAUGUACCAGUAGCUGUCCGGACACCUGCUCGGACCUGACGGCCUCUCAGAACUGUGCCACUCCAUGCACGGAAGGUUGCGAGUGCAACGAGGGCUUUGUCCUCAGCACCAGCCAGUGUGUCCCUUUGCACAAGUGCGGCUGUGACUUCGAUGGCCACUACUAUACCAUGGGCGAGUUCUUCUGGGCCACCGCCAAUUGUACAGUGCAGUGCUUAUGCGAAGAGGGAGGGGAUGUCUACUGCUUCAACAAGACCUGCCGGAGUGGGGAGGUGUGUGCUGUGGAGGACGGUUACCAGGGCUGCUUCCCCAAGCGGGAGACGGUGUGCCUGCUCAGCCAGAACCAGGUACUACACACAUUUGAUGGCGCCGCCUACGCAUUCCCAUCCGAGUUAUCAUAUACCCUACUCAAGACCUGCCCUGAGCGUCCUGAGUACUUGGAAAUUGACAUCAACAAGAAGAAGCCUGAUGCAGGGCCAGCUUGGCUCCGGGGUGUUCGGAUCCUCGUGGCUGACCAAGAGGUCAAGAUAGGAGGCGUCGGGGCUUUGGAAGUCAAGCUAAAUGGUCAAGAUGUGGAAUUACCCUUUUUCCAUCCUUCGGGGAGGUUGGAGAUUCACAGAAACAAGAACAGCACAACUGUGGAGUCCAAGGGUGUGGUGUCCGUCCAGUACUCCGAUGUGGGACUACUGUACAUCCGACUGUCCACCAUGUACUUCAACUGUACUGGAGGCCUGUGUGGCUUCUUCAAUGCCAAUGCCAGUGAUGAGUUCUGCCUUCCUAAUGGCAAAUGCACAGACAACCUGGCGGUGUUCUUGGAGAGCUGGACAACAUUUGAGGAAAUCUGCAAUGGCGAGUGUGGGGACCUGCUGAAGGCCUGCAACAAUGACUCCGAGCUGCUCAAGUUCUACCGGAGCCGCUCCCGGUGUGGUAUCAUCAACGACCCCUCCAACAGCUCCUUCCUGGAGUGCCAUGGGGUGGUUAAUGUCACCGCCUACUACCGCACCUGCCUGUUUCGCCUGUGCCAGAGCGGAGGCAAUGAGUCAGAGCUGUGUGAUUCUGUGGCCCGCUAUGCCAGUGCUUGCAAGAAUGCAGAUGUGGAGGUGGGCCCCUGGAGGACCUAUGACUUCUGCCCUCUAGAAUGCCCGGAGAACAGCCAUUUUGAGGAGUGUAUGACAUGUACAGAGACCUGCGAGACCCUGGCCUUGGGCCCCAUCUGUGUGGACAGCUGCUCUGAGGGAUGCCAGUGUGAUGAAGGUUAUGCCCUGCAGGGCAGCCAGUGUGUCCCUCGGAGCGAGUGCGGCUGCAACUUUGAGGGGCAUCAACUUGCCACCAAUGAGACCUUCUGGGUAGACCAGGACUGCCAGAUCUUCUGCUACUGCAAUGGCACAGACAACAGUGUCCACUGUGAGACCAUUCCCUGCAGGGACGAUGAAUACUGUAUGGAAGAGAGUGGCUUGUACUACUGCCAGCCCCGUACUGAUGCUUCCUGUAUCGUCUCAGGCUAUGGUCACUACCUCACCUUUGAUGGCUACCCAUUUGACUUCCAGACCAGUUGUCCUCUUAUCCUCUGCACCACAGGAAGCAGACCAAUCUCAGACUCUUUCCCCAAGUUCAUUGUAACAGCCAAGAAUGAGGACCGGGACCCAUCUCUAGCCUUGUGGGUGAAGCAGGUGGACGUGAACGUGUUUGGCUACAGCAUUGUGAUACACCGGGCUUACAAGCACACUGUGUUGGUCAACAAUGAGCGGUUGUACCUGCCCCUGAAGUUAGGACAAGGGAAGAUAAACAUCUUUUCAUUCGGCUUUCAUGUGGUUGUGGAGACUGACUUUGGCCUGAAGGUCGUGUAUGACUGGAAGACCUUCCUGUCCAUUACCGUCCCCCGGAGCAUGCAGAACGGCACCUAUGGCCUCUGUGGACGCUACAAUGGCAACCCCGAUGAUGACCUUGAGAUGCCCAUGGGGCUGCCUGCACUGAGUAUCAACGAGUUUGGCCAGAGCUGGGUGAAGAGAGACACCUUCUGCCAGGUGGGCUGUGGGGACCGCUGCCCAUCCUGUGCCAAAGUGGAAGGUUUCUCCAAAGUACAGCAGCUGUGCAGCCUGAUCCCCAACCAGAAUGCUGGCUUUGCCAAAUGUCACAGCAAAGUCAACCCCACCUUCUUCUACAAAAACUGCCUGUUUGACUCCUGUAUCGAUGGGGGUGCCGUGCAGACAGCCUGCAGCUGGUUACAAAACUAUGCCAGCACUUGCCAGACUCAAGGAAUCGCAGUGACCGGCUGGAGGAACUACACGUCCUGUUCGGUUACCUGCCCCCCCAACAGCCACUAUGAGAGCUGUGUGAGCGUCUGCCAGCCCCGCUGCGCAGCCAUCCGCCUGAAGAGUGACUGUAAUCACUACUGCGUAGAGGGCUGCCAGUGUGAUGCAGGCUACGUCCUCAAUGGCAAGAGCUGCAUCUUGCCCCACAACUGUGGCUGCUACUCAGAUGGCAAAUACUAUGAGCCCAAGCAGCUAUUCUGGAAUGGGGACUGCACGCGGCGCUGCCGCUGUUUCAGGCGCAACCUGAUCCAGUGUGACCCACGCCAAUGCAAGUCAGAUGAGGAGUGCGCCCUGCGCAGUGGGGUGCGCGGCUGCUUCAGCACCAAAACCUCCUACUGCCUAGCGGCAGGGGGUGGUGUCUUCCGCACGUUCGAUGGUGCCUUCCUGCGCUUCCCUGCCAACUGCGCCUUCGUGCUCUCAACCAUCUGCCAGAAAUUGCCAGACAUCUCCUUCCAGCUCAUCAUCAACUUCGACAAGUGGUCCUCGCCCAACCUCACUAUCAUCUCACCGGUCUAUUUCUACAUUAACGAAGAGCAGAUUCUCAUCAACGAUCGGAACACUGUCAAGGUGAAUGGCACACAAGUAAAUGUUCCAUUUAUAACGGGCUUGGCAACCAAAAUCUACAGCAGCGAGGGGUUUCUGGUGAUCGACACCAGUCCCGACAUCCAGAUAUAUUACAAUGGUUUUAACGUCAUUAAAAUCAGCAUCAGUGAGAGGCUACAGAACAAAGUGUGUGGGCUCUGUGGGAACUUCAAUGGAGACAUGACUGACGACUACGUGACCUUGCGGGGGAAACCCGUGGUGAGCAGCGUGGUGCUGGCCCAGAGCUGGAAGACCAAUGGCAUGCAGAAGAGACCUCUCGCCCCCAGCUGCAACGAGCUACAGUUCUCACAGUAUGCAGCCACAUGUGACAAUGUGCACAUCCAGGCCAUGCAGGGUGACGGCUACUGCCUGAAACUCACCGACAUGAAGGGCUUCUUCCAGCCCUGCUAUGGGCUCCUUGAUCCCCUCCCGUUCUACGAGUCCUGUUACCUGGAUGGCUGCUACAACCACAAGAAGUUCCAGCUGUGUGGCUCCCUGGCUGCCUACGGGGAGGCCUGCCGCUCCUUCGGCAUCCUUAGCACCGAGUGGAUUGAGAAAGAGAAUUGCUCAGGAGUGGUUGAAGACCCUUGUGUGGGGGCGGAUUGUCCCAACAGGACCUGCGAGCUGGACAACGGAGGAGAAUUAUGUGGCUGCAUUGAGCCACCCCCCUAUGGAAACAAUUCCCAUGACAUCAUCGACGCGGAGGUGACCUGCAAGGCAGCCCAGAUGGAAGUGUCCAUAUCUAAGUGCAAGCUCUUCCAGCUGGGCUUUGAGAGAGAGGGUGUGAGAAUCAAUGACCGGCAGUGCUCUGGCAUCGAGGGCGAGGAUUUUAUCUCCUUUCAAAUCAACAACACCAAAGGGAACUGUGGGAACAUCGUGCAGUGUCAUCAACCUGACAGUUCCGACCCAGGAGGGCAGCUUCACCACCAAGAUGGCACUCUAUAAAAAUGCUUCCUACAAACACCCUUACCGCCAAGGGGAAGUUGUGCUGACAACUCGGGAUGUGCUGUACGUGGGCGUCUUUGUGGUCGGAGCUGACUCUACACACUUGAUUCUCACACUCAACAAAUGCUACGCCACCCCCUCCCGAGACAGCAACGACAAGCUUCGGUACUUCAUCAUCGAAGGAGGAUGUCAGAACAUCAAAGACAACACCAUUGGCAUAGAGGAGAACGGAGUGUCCCUAACCUGUCGUUUCCACGUCACCGUCUUCAAGUUCAUCGGAGACUACGAUGAAGUUCAUCUUCACUGUGCAGUGUCCCUCUGUGACUCAGAGAAAUACUCUUGCAAGAUUAAUUGCCCACAAAAUUCCAGGAUCGCCACAGAUUAUUCAAAAGAGCACAAAGAACAGAUCAUUUCAGUGGGACCCAUUAGGAGAAAAAGGCUGGACUGGUGUGAAGACAACGGCGGCUGUGAGCAGAUCUGCACCAGCCGGGUCGACGGGCCUCUGUGCAGCUGUGUGACCGGAUCCCUGCAAGAAGAUGGAAGGAGCUGCAGAGCCUCUAAUUCUUCAGUGGAACUUCAAGUUUGGACACUUCUUCUCAUCAUGACCCAGAUCUCACUGUGGCAUUUGAUCUAUAAAUCAGGCGCAACCUCAUAACGAACUCAGGGUGCUUUCUUCAGUCCCUGUAGGUAUAAAAGUGUGUGUCCCCAAGUCAAAACAGCCUCUCACACUCACGCCACCUUCCUCCAGCAGUCAGAUCUGGAGGACACCAACGUUCCUGGCUCCUCUUCCACAGUAUGCAAUAGUGGUUUCUCAAAGCCAAUGGGAGGAAAGCACGCUCUUACCCUCAAUGCCAAACAGCUGGCACUGGGUACCUAGGUUCAGGCCAGAAGCCAGCCAGGGAAAGCUCUGGCUACAGAAGUCUGAUGGGAAAGCUGGCCAGAAAAGUUGGUCUGUCCCGCGCUGUUUCUGGAACACCGUGGUUAUAGGCAAGGCUAUUGCUGUGACUUUGAAUUAAAGUUGCGUCUCUCUCUGUGGAGCCUCGCCAACACUGCCCUCAGCUCACUUUGCUUAGCUCCUCCCCCUCCUGCUGUGGCCUCCACCUUGCCGUGCCAGCUUCAGUCACUGGAGAUGAUGUUUGUAGACCUGGAGAACCUCACCCUGCCCGUCCCGAUCCUCAAACCCAGCCCUUCACAUUUUACAAAUCAACCAAAUAAUUUUUAAUGUGUUUUAUCCUUAAAUAAACUUUGUGUUCAAGUA